UACUUAUAAUAAUUGAAUUAAAUCCUGGAUGGGAUAAGGGGAGUGGAAUUUUGGAGGAAAGUACUAGCAGCUGCAACUCCACUACCAAACUUCACUGGAUAACCAACAUCCUUAAGUACCAUUUCCACUCCAGCAAGACAUCCCAGUAGUUGCAACUACACAGAAAAAAAAAACAUGAUUUUGUUAUGUAAGUUAUACUAUAAUAAGGAAUUAUAUCAAACCUAUAAAAGUAAGAGAGCACAAAUUAACAGAGAAUGAGUUAUGUGACGGUAUUUGACUGGGCAUGAGUUUAAGAUGUUAAUUUGACUUAUAAAAUAUAGCAGUGAUGAUGAAAGAGAGCAAACAUCAUAUUUCAGUUGAAGUGUAAAUAGUAUAACAACGUUAAACGUUGUAUAGAAAUAGAAUGGUGUAAAAUAUUUUGGAACGUCCCAAAAAGGAAAUUGUGUCUCGGAAAUUAGAAUGGAUUAGGGAUGGAGUGGCAAAUUCAAAGAGAACAAAAAUAUUGAGAUAUGACUCUUAAAUAUAUGUCUAAAACCAAAUGGAAACUCUUAACACUAAAUAUUAUGAGUUAAUUUGGUUCUUGAACUCUGAAAAUCAUUAUAAGUUGACCAAACACAUCCUCUGAGCAAGAAAAUAAACAUGGAGAUUUUAUGCUUUUGGCUAAUUAGUAUAGAGUUGUAAGUUGUAGCAGCCCUUUACUUGAUGAUAUUGAAUAUCUAGAGCCAAUAGACAAACAAACCAGAGCUUAUGCAGUUAUGCAUAUGGUUGUAUGUCAACUGCUAUCUCUACACAAAUUCUCCUAAUUCUCUGAACCAAACCACAAUCUAAAGAAACUUGGUGACAGUCACAUGUUCAAGAAUGAUCUUGAAUUCCAUAGUAGCAGUCACAUGCUCGAGGAAUGAUCGCGUAAUCUUUAUCUUGUUAGACUUCACAAAAUGUGUCAUCAAAUAUGUAAUCUGCAGUAAAAGAGAAAGGUUACCUCAUUCAAGUUGCCAAGAUGUCCUAUUCUGAAAACCUUUCCUGCCACUUUGUUUAGGCCAAGACCUAAGCUU
rnacentral:lncRNA from 1 species